rnacentral:rRNA from 1 species
CCCCUACGGGGGGCAGCAGUGGGGGAUAUUGCACAAUGGGGGGAACCCUGAUGCAGCGACGCCGCGUGGGUGAAGAAGCGCCUCGGCGCGUAAAGCCCUGUCAGCAGGGAAGAAAAUGACGGUACCUGAAGAAGAAGCCCCGGCUAACUACGUGCCAGCAGCCGCGGUAAUACGUAGGGGGCAAGCGUUGUCCGGAUUUACUGGGUGUAAAGGGGGCGCAGACGGCGACGCAAGCCAGGAGUGAAAGCCCGGGGCCCAACCCCCGCACUGCUUUGGAAACUGUAUGGCUGGAGUGCAGGAGAGGG